UACGUAGGGAGCAAGCGUUAUCCGGAAUUAUUGGGCGUAAAGAGCUCGUAGGCGGUUGUCGCGUCUGCCGUGAAAGUCCGGGCUCAACUCCGGAUCUGCGGUGGGUACGGGCAGACUAGAGUGAUGUAGGGGAGACUGGAAUUCCUGGUGUAGCGGUGAAAUGCGCAGAUAUCAGGAGGAACACCGAUGGCGAAGGCAGGUCUCCUGGGCAUUAACUGACGCUGAGGAGCGAAAGCAUGGGGAGC
rnacentral:rRNA from 1 species